rnacentral:rRNA from 1 species
GUGCACGCUGGCGGUAGGCCUAACACAUGCAAGUCGAACGGCAGCACAGUAAGAGCUUGCUCUUACGGGUGGCGAGUGGCGGACGGGUGAGGAAUACAUCGGAAUCUACUUUUUCGUGGGGGAUAACGUAGGGAAACUUACGCUAAUACCGCAUACGACCUACGGGUGAAAGCAGGGGAUCUUCGGACCUUGCGCGAUUGAAUGAGCCGAUGUCGGAUUAGCUAGUUGGCGGGGUAAAGGCCCACCAAGGCGACGAUCCGUAGCUGGUCUGAGAGGAUGAUCAGCCACACUGGAACUGAGACACGGUCCAGACUCCUACGGGAGGCAGCAGUGGGGAAUAUUGGACAAUGGGCGCAAGCCUGAUCCAGCAAUACCGCGUGGGUGAAGAAGGCCUUCGGGUUGUAAAGCCCUUUUGUUGGGAAAGAAAAGCAGCAGGUUAAUACCCCGCUGUUCUGACGGUACCCAAAGAAUAAGCACCGGCUAACUUCGUG